UACGGGGGGGGUAAGCGUUGUUCGGAAUUACUGGGCGUAAAGGGCUCGUAGGCGGCCAACUAAGUCGGACGUGAAAUCCCUCAGCUUAACUGGGGAACUGCGUCCGAUACUGGAUGGCUUGGAUUUGGGAGAGGGAUGCGGAAUUCCAGGUGUAGCGGUGAAAUUCGUAGAUAUCGAGAGGAACACCGGUGGCGAAGGCGGCCUUCUGGACAGUGACUGACGCUGAGACGCGAAAGCGUGGGGAGCAAACAGG
rnacentral:rRNA from 1 species